UCUCUCAUUCGAUUUGAGUUAGAUCCUGGCUCAGGACGAACUCUCGCGGCGUGCUUAACACAUGCAAGUGGAGCGACGAACCGGGGCUUGCCCCGGGGCAGAGCCGCGAACGGGUGAGUAACACGUGGGUAACCUGCCUCAAUGAUUGGGACAACCCGAGGAAACUCGGGCUAAUACCAAAUGUGUUCACUCCUUCUAAGGGGAGUGAGGAAAGGAAGCUUCGGCCUCCGCAUUGAGAUGGGCCCGCGGCCCAUUAGCUAGUUGGUGAGGUAACGGCUCACCAAGGCUUCGAUGGGUAGCUGGUCUGAGAGGACGAUCAGCCACACUGGGACUGAGACACGGCCCAGACUCCUACGGGAGGCAGCAGUGGGGAAUCUUGCACAAUGCGCGAAAGCGUGAUGCAGCAACGCCGCGUGGGGGAAGACGGCCUUCGGGUUGUAAACCCCUUUCAGUUGGGACGAAGCUUCGUCGGUGAAUAGCCGGUUGGGAGUGACGGUACCUUCAGAAGAAGCCCCGGCUAACUACGUGCCAGCAGCCGCGGGUAAUACGUAGGGGGCCAGCCGUUGUCCGGAAUCAUUUGGGCGUAAAGCCGCGUGGUAAGGCGGCUUCGAUAAAGUCCUGCCUGUUGAAAGUCCCAA
rnacentral:rRNA from 1 species